UUUGAGAGCAGAGCGCUGCUUAGUGCUGUCAGCUCUGCUCCUGACAGCGAUUUGAUCUGGAAGGAAUAUUGAAUUAACAUAUGAAUGAGCGCGCGGGCGGAGAGAGCAGCUUCCAAGCAUCGUAUUGUUGUGUAACUGGAGGCUCGGGGGCUCCUGGUGGGACCUUUACAUUAGAUUUACAUCAGAAUGAGGUGGAGUCGCAGUCUGGAGGAUUCUGUGAAUGAAACUGCUUUUUCACCAAAACUUUUCGAAACACUAAGUCCCAGGAAACCAAACCCUAAUCCACCUGUUGGCAGCAGAUGUAAAUCAGGAUAAAACUCAUGUCCAGUUCCACGGACGGAAUUCACCGGAACUCCAAAUGUUCUUCACAAACGUAAUAUCUAAGGCCCCCCCCCCCACCACCUCCUCCACUGUUACACCAACCAUCUCCCCUACAUCAGUAACUCUUUUCCUCUUAGCCCCAUCUCCAACAUUUUGGUCUGAUAUCUCCAGAAUUGUCCAAAAAGACGCUGAUCUUUUCCUCUGGGAGUGACCAGAAAAGGACAGGAUCAGAAAUGAGCCGAUCAGUUAGCUUGUUAGUCGUAGACUGGCCGACGAACCCACGCCCGGGGCCGCUGACCAGAGGUUGAAACCUCAACAAACACAUAUUAGGAGUUGAUGAUGGGAUUUGAAGCUGGAGCUGCGUUGAAACUAAAACCUUUCCCUGAGUGUGUGUAAAUAACAACAUGUGAACUGACUGUUCCUUACAGUGCACAACAAUCUGAUCAUCCAUAUGAUAAGAAUUUGUAAAAAACAA